UCUGUGCCAUGAAAACCUCCUCGUCCUCCUCUGGGUCCCGGAGCUGAGCCAAACCAACGGAAACAACUGCGUCUCCCUGCUGACACCCAGUGGCCACAGUGGUAACUGCAGCCUGUUCACCUGGGAAUUAAAACCACAUUUCAGGCCUCCUCUGGUGUGUCAAUGGGGAAAGGGGGCAGAGAGGCGAGCAUGUGAUCGGCCUGCAAAAUAUUCCAGAGAGCAGCGAGACGAAUCGGGAGCCAGAUUGUAAAGAUGUAAUGGGACUAGAUGGCACGUCCUUUAAAAGAGGCCCCCAAAAAUUAUGAGGAAAUCUCAACAGCAACGUGUCUCUUUCCUGGAAAUCAAGACCCCCGGUUUGCUCCAGAUGAUCCACAGAUCUAGA